rnacentral:rRNA from 1 species
AGAACUUUGAAGAGAGAGUUCAAGAGUACGUGAAACCGUUCAGGGGUAAACCUGCGAAACUCGAAUGAACGAACGGAGAGAUUCAUCGUCAUUCGGCGGCGUACGGGCGCGCGCCUCGAUGUGGCGCACCGUCAUUCGCGUGGCGUUCUAGCGUUGCACGGGUCGCGUCCGUCGACGUCCGCCGACGGCGUGCACUUCUCUCUCAGUAAUACAUCGCGACCCGUUCGACGUCGGCCUAAGCGCCGUCCGGGAGCCCUGCGGUGCCGCCUCAACAGGGCGGUCGCCGCAGGACCGUGACGGUCCGCCGGCCGGCUAUCGGACGGUAUUAACGACAAAUACGAUUCGCGCACGCGCCUCGCGCGCGUCCGGCCCGACGCAAGCUUAAAUGUCGUCUUCCGACGUCCUGCCCGAGUGCGGACGUUGGAGCGGCGUUGCUGUUUUGGCAGCCGUGCAGUCUCGGACCGUGCGCGUAUCRGUCUGCGAUGAUUCAUUUUCGGGCACUCGCAGGACCCGUCUUGAAACACGGACCAAGGAGUCUAGCAUGUGUGCGAGUCAUUGAGUUUAUAUCAAAAAUAAUGCACAAAACUGAAAGGCGCAACGAAAGUGAAGGCGUGCGCUCGUCGCGCGCUCAGGGAGGAUGGAGCGUCGGUCUCGAUCGAUCUCCCGCACUCCCGAGACGUCUCGUUUCCAAUCCGUGAAUGCAGGCGCGCUCUGAGCACAGAUGCUGGGACCCGAAAGAUGGUGAACUAUGCCUGGUCAGGUCGAAGUCAGGGGAAACCCUGAUGGAGGACCGUAGCGAUUCUGACGUGCAAAUCGAUCGUCGGAACUGGGUAUAGGGGCGAAAGACUAAUCGAACCAUC